GGAUGUGAGGGCGAUCUGGCUGAGACAUCUGUCACCCCAUUGAUCGCCAGGGUUGAUUCGGCUGAUCUGGCUGGCUAGGCGGGUGUCCCCUUCCUCCCUCACCGUGUGCGUCCUUGUGCGUCCAUGUGCGUCCCUCCCGAAGCUGCGCGCUUAGUCGAAGAGGACGACCUUCACCGAUAGAGGAGAGGACCCAUCUUGGGUCAAGGGUAUACAGUAGCUGCGCUCCCCUGCUCGAACCUCCAAACAAGCUCUCAAGAUUUGCUUUGUUACGUGUGGUUGACUUCAGGAAGUUUGAAAGUCAAUUGCAUUUCUGUAUAACACUAAAAAUUAUAUAAAAAUGAUAUCAUUAUAGUACAUU
rnacentral:snRNA from 1 species